rnacentral:rRNA from 1 species
UAAGCGGAGGAAAGAAACUAACAGGAUUCCCCUAGUAACUGCGAGUGAAGCGGNNAAAGCUCAAAUUUAAAAUCUGGUGGCCUCUGGUCAUCCGAGUUGUAAUUUAGAGAAGCGUCUUCCGCGCUGGACCAUGCACAAGUCUCCUGGAAUGGAGCGUCAUAGAGGGUGAGAAUCCCGUCUUUGGCAUGGAUGCACCAGGGCUUCUGUGAUGCGCUCUCAAAGAGUCGAGUUGUUUGGGAAUGCAGCUCAAAAUGGGUGGUGAACUCCAUCUAAAGCUAAAUAUUGGCGAGAGACCGAUAGCGAACAAGUACCGUGAGGGAAAGAUGAAAAGCACUUUGGAAAGAGAGUGAAACAGUACGUGAAAUUGUUGAAAGGGAAACGCUUGAAGUCAGUCGCGUCGACCGAGACUCAGCCUCGCCUUGGCUUGGUGUACUUCUCGGCUGACGGGUCAGUGUCAAUUUUGGGCCUCGGAUAAUGACAAGGGAAAGGUGGCACCUUUAUAGGUGUGUUAUAGUCUCCUGUCGGAUGCGAGGGUCGGGAUUGAGGAACUCAGCACGCGCCUUUUGGUGUCGGGGCUUCGGCCU